rnacentral:rRNA from 1 species
GACGAACGCUGGCGGCGUGCUUAACACAUGCAAGUCGAACGGAAAGGCCCUUCGGGGUACUCGAGUGGCGAACGGGUGAGUAACACGUGGGUGAUCUGCCCUGCACUUUGGGAUAAGCCUGGGAAACUGGGUCUAAUACCGGAUAGGACUACGGCCUGCAUGGGUUGUGGUGGAAAGCUUUUGCGGUGUGGGAUGGGCCCGCGGCCUAUCAGCUUGUUGGUGGGGUGAUGGCCUACCAAGGCGACGACGGGUAGCCGGCCUGAGAGGGUGUCCGGCCACACUGGGACUGAGAUACGGCCCAGACUCCUACGGGAGGCAGCAGUGGGGAAUAUUGCACAAUGGGCGCAAGCCUGAUGCAGCGACGCCGCGUGAGGGAUGACGGCCUUCGGGUUGUAAACCUCUUUCAGUAGGGACGAAGCGCAAGUGACGGUACCUAUAGAAGAAGCACCGGCCAACUACGUGCCAGCAGCCGCGGUAAUACGUAGGGUGCGAACGUUGUCCGGAAUUACUGGGCGUAAAGAGCUCGUAGGUGGUUUGUCGCGUUGUUCGUGAAAACUCACAGCUCAACUGUGGGCGUGCGGGCGAUACGGGCAGACUGGAGUACUGCAGGGGAGACUGGAAUUCCUGGUGUAGCGGUGGAAUGCGCAGAUAUCAGGAGGAACACCGGUGGCGAAGGCGGGUCUCUGGGCAGUAACUGACGCUGA